rnacentral:rRNA from 1 species
GAUGAACGCUAGCGGCAGGCCUAAUACAUGCAAGUCGAACGGGUGGUCGCAAGACCCCUAGUGGCGCACGGGUGCGUAACGCAUAACCAACCUGCCCCGAUCUGGGGGAUAGCCCGCCGAAAGGCGGAUUAAUACCGCAUAUACCCGCAGCCUGGCAUCAGGCAACGGGGAAAGAUUUAUUGGAUCGGGAUGGGGUUGCGUGACAUGAGCUAGUUGGCGGGGUAAGGGCCCACCAAGGCGACGAUGUCUAGGGGACCUGAGAGGGUGAUCCCCCACACUGGCACUGAGAUACGGGCCAGACUCCUACGGGAGGCAGCAGUAGGGAAUAUUGGGCAAUGGGCGAGAGCCUGACCCAGCCAGGCCGCGUGCCGGAUGAAGGCCUUCUGGGUUGUAAACGGCUUUUCUCAGGGAAGAAAAAGACCUUGCGAGGUACACUGACGGUACCUGAGGAAUAAGCACCGGCUAACUCCGUG